AGUAGCCCUUUGUAAUCCUAAAGUCUCUGAAUAUUAUCAAUUAUUUCAAUCUUGUUUCCAAGGCUAUGACAUCAUACCAUCUAGAGGUUUAAAGGAAAGUUAGAAUAAUAAUAGUAAAAUGAGGAAGAACAGUGAGGAACAAAAUGGCGGAUACCUACACAUGGUAGCACUCGAUUUUAAUAACUAGGGCCCAGGGUGGCCUGAAAAUGCCAAAGUAGCCCUUUGUAAUCCUAAAGUCUCUGAAUAUUAUCAAUUAUUUCAAUCUUGUUUCCAAGGCAAUGACAUCACGCCAUCUAAAAUUCUAAAGCAUCUAAAAUCGUCCACGACGUCUUAAAAGAAACUUAUAGCAAACUUUGAUUGUGAUACUGGACUUUUUGUUAAAUAUCAAAAUAUGCCCUUUGUAAGCCUAAAAAUCUCCAACCACGUAUCGAUUGUUUCAAUAUAGUUUCCAAGGCAACCAUACCACUAAAGGUCCAAAGUCAACCACAACAUCCCACAAGUAAGUCAUCGCAGACUUCGGUUUAUUGCACCGUAAUUUUUGUGUUGUUGCACGUGAAAAUUUGCUUCGUUCCUGUGCGAUCUUGAUUAUGGCCACAGUAGUGCAAUGCAACGCGUCUGCGAUUGCUGAACAGCCAAAUGAAACAACAAGGAAGCCAUCGAAGCACGUCAAAGUAUGUCUUCGAGCCUUCCGGUUAAAUCUUUUCUUGCUCGAUAUUUCUGUCGGGACUUCUACUAACCUCUCGAGUGCAAAUUGUCGAAAUUUGUUUAAUGGAACGUUUACGGGAACGUUUUUCGAUUUCUGUUGACGAUAUUUCUCUGUUUACUACUUCUACUUAACUCUCGAAUGCAAAAUGUAGAAAUUCGUGUAAGUAGAGGAACACCACUUACGAGGUUUUUUUUUCGAUUUCUCUUGGCGAUACUUCGUCACGAAUAUUUUAUUUCUACGAAUCAGAACCCGCACGUGCAGACGGAGCCGCUAACGGUAUACAUUUCAUCGAGAAGCUUCUUUUUUUUUUUUCUCGAGCUCGCGUUGGGCUCGGGUGUCUCGACUGUCGACUUAUCUCAAUAACACGUGUUCUCUCGUUCUAUCUGACAAAUUUGAGCGAGAGCCUGCUUCGAAUCGGCUUAUUUGAAGGUAGGUGUUCCUCCAACGGCCAAAGCCUUCGACGAAGAACGUAAACGCUGUAACUCGACACCGAGUUACAGUUGCUAAGGAGGAAUGGCUCGAGGACUAUGUUUUCGUUGACACUAUGUUUCGACGCUCUCCUAAUCUCGAAGUGUUCGGACUGAAUUUCAUAUAGGAAACUUUCCUUGGCUACGGAGAAUAUUACGAAAUAAAUAAUGGCUGAGAACACUGCGGAAUCGCGUCCAAAAAAUUCUCAGCACUGCUGCGUGACUCCCUCCGCGCAGAAAGAAGAAAGUCAGACGACGAAAUCAGAAUUGUUUAUUACUCUUGCGAAGGAUGCAAAAAAGCAGAGGGUACAGGAGCUUCUGGAGAAAGAAAGACAAGCUGAAGAGGAAAGGGAGAAGUUCGUCAAGGAUAGUCUCGAAAGAAGAGCAGCCGAGAGAGCGGAAGUCAUAAACCAAGCGAAGAAAUUAAUUCUUUAUACGAAACCUAUGUGCAGACGAAUCAAUCAGGCUCUGCUUACCUCGGAGGUAUGAGAAUUAUGAUUGCGAAGAAAGAUGUGGAAGAAAUUAUAGAGGU